rfam:Triticum aestivum genome assembly, contig: Triticum_aestivum_CS42_TGACv1_scaffold_532176_6DL
CAACUACUCCCUCUGUCCCAAAUUUCUUGUCUUAGAUUUGUCUAGAUACAGAUGUAUCUAAUACUAAAAUGUGACUUGAUACAUCCGUAUCUAGACAAAUCUAAGACAAGAAUUUAUGGACGGUGGGAGUACUUU